GCUCUUGGGUUUUGCUUCUGUUCUCCCUCUUCUCUUUCUGUCCUUCCUCCUUGAUCAUUCCUAUGGUUUUAAUAGCAUCUCAAAUCUCAGGAUUCAAGUGUGAGCUCAUUUGUCAUAUUGACUACUGUCCUUUUCCACUUGAAAGCUCAUGGGCAUUAUCAACAUGAGACGCACAAGUUUUUCUCUUGCUUCCUUCUAAAUAUAUUUGUCUCCUUCCUGUCUUCCCCAGCUCAAUAAAUGGCAUGCCCAUUUCUCAGUUCAGACAUUCAACCCACGUUGAGUCAAUUCUGCUUCCAAAAUAGGUCUCAAAACUAGUCACUUCAGAGUUUCAUGGUGGCUUAAUGGGUUAAGGAUCCAGCAUUUUCACUGCUAUAGUGUAUGUUCCAUCCCUGGCCCCAAAACUUCCAUAUGCCAGGGGCAAAGCCAAAAAAGAAACAACUGGCCAUUUUUUUCUAUCACAUCUGGCACUUCCCUAUUCCGGGUCACCAUCAUCUUUUCCUGGAUGAGUCGGGAAUUCUAAUAUUCACUCUUGCUCCAUCCAGUUCCUUCAAAGUACUUCAUCGAAAGGUGAGUGAUCAUGCGAUCCUUUCAGUGGAUUCCCGCAGAACUCAGGGGAGUCCCAUCUUCUUCCCAUGGCCUAAAGACUCUUUGUAAUCUUGUUUCUGCUCAUCUUUUCAGCCCCAUCUCAUGCUCAUAUUCCCUUUCACCAGAUUCUAUGACCUUAAACAUGACAAGGCUUGCAUUUUAUCUUAUCUUUCUUCCCUCCUUGUCUUUCUUGUUUAUUACUGUAAGUCUUAUUGUACUGCAAUACGUGCUCAAUAAAAACUUAUUGAACACGUGUUGAUGAAUGCUGUAAGCUAGAGAGAAGUGGCAAUCUUGCAGCAACUAGAACCAUUCUAAUAAUUGAUUGUAGUAUGCGAAACUAUGCCCUCCAUCACAACAUGCAUGUCCUGUGUUCCCUUAUUUCAAGGUCUGGCUUAGCAAUACCAUGAAUUUAAUCUGUUCAAGUCACUUACUCUAAAACAAACUACCCUCCCCCAAAACCUAUAGUGACUUAAAACAAUCAUUUUAUCAUACUCAGAAAUCUUGUGCGAUCUAUGUUCUAGAUCUUCAACUAGAACAUAGUAGCAGUGGCUUGUCUCUGCUCUACAAUGUCGUUAACUUCAUCUGGAAAGAUUCAAAGGCUGGGAGUUACUCCAUGGUGGGAGU
rnacentral:lncRNA from 1 species